GUGGGUUUUCCCACAACCCCUAUCCUUUGCAUGGAUGGGUUGGUAGAACUGGUUUCAUCAAUUUUCUAAUGAAGCAAUCAUCACAGGUUGAUUGUCUCCCUGGAGUCAUCAGAACUACUCAGAGCCAACUCCUUGUCUCCAACACAUUCAGCAUCCCUUCCCUGCCAAGCAGGGCAGGCUGGAAGACUCAAUACUAGUUUUGAAAAAUCUAGACCUUGUAGAUCAAAGGCUAUGGUUGCAAACCCUGUAUGUCAAGACUGAGGAUGGAGACCCUGUAGCCCAAGACUGAUGAUGCUGAUCCUGUACUGAGCAUUGAGGAUGUAUCUCAGUGUCCUCUCAAUGAAACCCAGGCUUUGCAAUGCAGCUCCCAUGACUUGGCAGCUUGCCCUGAGAAUUCCCUCUUCCUUCCAAGGCUAGAAUUACAGACAAACUAUCAACCACACAGGAAGAUGCCCACAUUCUGAAGGAUGCUUGGAAUGGCGUGAUUGCACAAUAUGCUUAUUCACCAACCUAACUUUCUAGUUGGGGAUUAUAUGAUUUGAUAUGAAUAAUCUUAAGAAAU